rnacentral:rRNA from 1 species
ACGGAAGGCAGCAGUGGGGAAUAUUGCACAAUGGGGGAAACCCUGAUGCAGCGACGCCGCGUGAGUGAAGAAGUAUUUCGGUAUGUAAAGCUCUAUCAGCAGGAAAGAAAAUGACGGUACCUGACUAAGAAGCCCCGGCUAACUACGUGCCAGCAGCCGCGGUAAUACGUAGGGGGCAAGCGUUAUCCGGAUUUACUGGGUGUAAAGGGAGCGUAGACGGCUUUGCAAGUCUGAAGUGAAAGCCCGGGGCUCAACCCCGGAACUGCUUUGGAAACUGUAGAGCUAGAGUGCAGGAGAGGUAAGUGGAAUUCCUAGUGUAGCGGUGAAAUGCGUAGAUAUUAGGAGGAACACCAGUGGCGAAGGCGGCUUACUGGACUGUAACUGACGUUGAGGCUCGAAGGCGUGGGGAGCAAUCAGGAUUAGAUACCCUGGUA